rnacentral:lncRNA from 1 species
UUGUUUUAUGUUUUUGCACGUCUCCUGCAGACGUCGUUUCUGUUUUUUACUUUUUUUUUCCCCUCUAUUUUAUUUCUUUCGUUUGCAUCACAGACUCUGUUUGCAUCAUGGUUUCUUUGAAUGCUCGUGCUACAUCCGACUCGCGAGUUUAUGAAAAGCAGUUUCUAAUAAGAUAAAGAAACAGUCCAGAUAAUAGUAAUCUGGACGAAAAUACCAAGUAGGUCUCUGCUUCAUUCUUGCUUGUGAAAUAGAUUCCUACAUAGUAGAAUGGCACUUCUCUUAUCUUCAGCGUAUUCAGGUGUAAUCAUUUGAGAGCCAACUCGAUGACAUGAUUUUUGUGGUAGCAAAAUACAGCCUCCAUUUCCAAGACCACUCUGUUGGAAACUCAGUGUCAAUCAUCACACCUGUCAAUCAACAUUGCCAAUGCUAUCUUUCGAGCUGAAUGAAACCCAGCAACUUGCAGCUUGGUGAAAAUACGUCGAAACUUGAAACGAUAAUCCUCAAUGAACGCCUCCUAUGAAUUUCCCUUCAGAUUUUCCUCGUGUACAUCCAUGUGAGUGUGGAUGUAUUCACGAGGACGUCAUACUUUUUCACGUCAUUCAAUCUUUUUUCCAUGGGCGUCAGUAAAGUCCAGCGGAAAUAGUUCCGUCAGAAAAGACCAUCGUUGAUUCUUCUUAAGGAGCCACUCAAUUUUCUCGUGCUUUGAUUGUCACCUCCUGCAUCCUGAUGAGUUGAUUGUAAAGUUCGUCACCUUGCGAAACUAUUUCUUCAUUGGUGUCUCAACAUCUAUUUUGAAUGUUUGCAUAAGGGCUGUUCGACAUCAUGCAUCCUCCUGCAUCCUGAUGAGUUGAUCGUAAAGAUAAAAAAGGGUUUGAAAGUAUUGAUCUCCCAGGAUUUGCUAACCACAGAUUUGCCAUGAUUCACGGAGACUAUUGCCGGACCAUAGACAACCCAUUUUACUGCAGGCGUGGUACACUGAAUUCGUUGAUAGUUCCAGGUUUCAUCAACGACGUCGUUCUUAUUAACCCGACUUAUGGAUGCCGCGCUGCGAUUUUCCCUUUCUGUUAUUUUAAAGGAGCUCAUGAUAUUUUCAAUGAAAAUCUCAGCUUCUUAUAUUUUACUUCUCUGUUUAUAUCUGUUCGCUUUGCUAAGCCUCGAAGGGAAGUUCAGAGACACUGUCUUAACAUUUUGCAAAAUUUGAGGGAUCAACAAAACCAAGGUACACAUCAGAGGAUUCACAAUGUGAAUUUGUUAAUAGCCAUGCUUAACAAAAUGAAAGAAUUUUACGUUUUACUAUCACAACACUCCGAAAUUAGAUAAUUUUAGGAACCGGUGUGAAUCAGAAUUACUUAACAUGAAUUCCGAAAAUCAUCUUUACUAGCCUAUACCCUCCCCUCCCCUCCCUCAGAUAUCCAAAAAUAUUUCAAGAUAAUGCGUUCACGAAUUUAGCUAAAAAUGAGAAAGUACCAGUAAAUGACCAUGCAUUCCGCAUGCUUUGACAACAAAUUCCGCAUUCGAUUUAGUUUUGUUGCAAAAUUUAAUACAAUGUUUUAGCCCUCUGUUUAAGUCGGUUUAAGUACAAAACCCAUACUCUCAAACUGUUUUAGAUGUCGUCAAAAUUUAACUGUAACCUGCAAACUGCAUGACGUAGGAGACUCAAUGUAAAUCAGUAAAUCACACACGAAGCAAUCUGUAUUCAAUGGGUAACGACUUAUAGACGCUGAUUCUUAGCUGUAUUUGACAGUGUAGUAUUAUUAUCUUUUUUUUUUCUGAAAUUGCAUCCUGGAAAGUGAGCUUAUACGUGCGAGUAUUAUUUCCUUAAGAAGAUGAACUAAUUCAAAUUGGUGGGGUUUGUUUGCAAUUUUGCCAUUUUUCGUUUAUGUUUCCAGGAACAGAAAACAUGCAAACAAAUCACAGCAGAAAUCAUGGCAUAUAAAGAAGUACAAGACGCGACGAGUAGUUAAAAGAGACCACAUGACAUGACCUCGUGCGAUUUAUUAACCCAGCUUUUAUCGUCGACUUUAAUCUUAACGAAAAAUGUCUAAAUAGUUAGAAUUGACCGCGCUCAUUAUUUCUCCAUUAAAUCUUCUAGACUAGACUGUGUAACUUUUCUUGUCUUCGAUGUGCUACUCGAAUUUCUUUAAAAAAACAUAAAUAGGUUCUCUUAUCUUACCUUCGAUUCUUUUGAAAAAAUGAAUCUCCAUAUGGAAGGUAUCACAAGGUUAUUAAAUGCCAUCAUUCAUGUUGUCUUUUGGUAGUACUCUAUAAAGAUCUUUUUCGUUCUCAACAUCUUUAUUUUUUUUGCUACAUUGAUAAUCAGAUCCUGAGAAUCACUGAAAAAUUCUAUAUUAUUUUUUUUUAAUUUUAUUAUUUUACUAGAAUUUUAGAAAAACAAAAGUUUACUAAGUAUUAGUAGUAUUGAUAUCUCUAAUGCUAAACUUCAACAACCCUACGAGGUCAGGUGGGUCAGUAGUCUGACAAUCAAUCCCUGACAUCAGCUGAGCCGGUACACUUCACAGAUGUACAUCAAUUUAGGAAGGGAGUAAUACACUUUUCAAACUAUA